UAUCCCAGCAUGCACAGGUGGAAGACUGGGGAGACAGCGGUCCAUCACGGGGCGACCACAGACACGUUCUCACCUGCAAGCGUCUUCAGUCCACCUGACCUGAAAGUCUCCGUGAUGUGGGAGGAAACCAGACAAACCAACACAUCAGGAUGGGAAUCAAACCUGCGACCUCCAGGAUGUGAUGCGACAGUGUCAAGUGUAUAUUUGAGAUAAAGCAGGACCUCUGAGUGAGUGCAGGUACUACAAAGACUCAUGAACUGUAAAUGUGAGAGAAACCUGAUGCUCCAGAUGUUAAAUGUUCUCUCGCGCCGGUCUGCACCGCCUCUCACAAACUGACUUUAAUAUCAGAGCUGAGUCUCAGCGUUCACCACUGCGAUGUUUAAGCAGCAGUUUAUUAAAGACAAACUGUGCUGAAUCCCUGAUAACCUGCCAGAUGAAACUACAGUAUUAUUUAAAGCUCACAUCUUUGUUUUUAUUUUUAUUUUCUAGCCCCCACAAGUGAAUAUAGAGGUCUGCAUCUGGGUGUUAUGGAGCAGCUCGGCCUCUAGAGGCUGCUAGUGAGACUUUUAGACCUUUUUUUUAAACUGUGUCCCAAUUCCAUAUUUUAAACCAACGCUGACGUCUACACCAUGUACUCACGUCGACAGCAGCUAAUAGAGAAAGUACGUUUGUUUCUUGUAUACUAAUAGAUAUUUAUAGGCAACUGAAAAGUGUUUUUCUACAUAAAUUUUGAUUAUAAACCAACAGAAAAUUGUACAAAGCAAGUAGAGAUUAAUGUCAGUGUUUGGGGAAAAAAAAAGCUCCUGCCUAUUAAAUAGAGUGCUUAUUUUAUUUAUUACGUACAAUUUUGUAUUGUUUUUGUCUCUAGAGACGUAGCGUCACCAUCCACAAUGUUCUAACAGCUUCUUUAUUUAAAGGACGAUAAAACCCGUCAUCACUGUGCUCAUAUUUGAUGCAUUUUUACAGUAAAAUAUGUCCUUGUCGUUUUUUAAAAGCACAAAUAUGCUCUGCAAACAGUUAAAAUUAGUUUGAAAUUGGGACACAGUUUGGUUUUUUAAAAUUCAGGCACUGAUUUAAGUUGUUUUUUGUUUUAAAUCGACAUGUAUCGCAGUUUAUAUUUUAACUGCAACUUUUCUCUCCUGUUAUCUGCUGUAGAUUCUGAUGAUUUUAGUGGUUUUUACUCUCAUCGUCACCAUAGCUACAACUGUGUUAGAUUUUUUGUUUUUUUCUGCCUGAACUGACGAGAGAAUCCUCCGCUGUAGGUAAAACACUCACAGUACUUUUUUUUUUUUUCUCAAGCUCAUUUAGGGUGAUGUGCAAUGUUAAAAGUCGUUCGUUGUUGUUUUUUUUGUAUUUUAAUGGCUUCGUUCCAAAAUGAAACACAUCCAUCUUCAAACUGCUCAAAAUUUCAACAAUAUAAACAUUUUCACAAAUAUUACAGUACUUUCAUGAGUCUUAAUUUACAGUAAAUGUUAAUUGUAAUCACUUAAUUACAGCAGGAUUCCAGUUUAAAUGGUGUUUUAUUUUGGAAUGAAUGUCAUUUGUUUUCUGUGGUAUUUAAUGUUUUUAAGUUUUUAGACCGAGACGAAUGUUCUUUGGUGUUCAGAUUUCAAUAUGUCUACGUCUCAUUAUUUAAAUUAUUCACUUGCAAACUUGCUCUGUACAGUUUGUAACAGUUUCUCUAAAAAAAACAUAUUUUUUGUCUUUCUUCAAUAAGCUUUCUGUGUCGAUUUGGCCUUAAGACUCAUUUUGUAGCAGCAGAAAAUUUUUGUAUCCUGACUUUUCAUACCUGAGCAAUCAAAAACUGUUGAACUUGACGCUAAAAUAAAGAAAAAUUAACCUUG